AGCUGGCCAAGAACUUUUGUACAUAAGUCCUUCGUGUGUUCCGUCGACCCGGCUGAGGGCGUACACCUCCAGGAAUGCCUCUUGCCCAAUUUGGGAGCUGGAAUAAGAGUCUACGAGGAUAUUUAUGAGAAUGCGACUAAGACAUAAAGGCAAUUGAAGGUGAAAAGCUCGAGUGAAGACAGAUGGCUCCAAACAAAACACGGCAGCUGACUUCAAGCGCAGCAUAAAGUUUGCCACUAGAUAGCGGUCUUCCCCCAGUAUUUUAUUUUCAAGACAGUGGCCUGCAAAUAUAUCUAGGAAGAGAGGAAAGGAAGUUUGUUUUCAGAGAUUGUCUCCUACUGACUGUAACCUCCAUCCGUCCGAAUAUGAUCGUUGUUUUUACCCAGCUAAAGGAAAAUAUAUGCUACUUCAUCUAGUCUGUUACCUUUGACAGUGGGCGAUAAACACGGAGCGAAAGAACAGAGAGAAAAAUAGGUAUUCUGGAGAAGAUGCUGCACUAUGAAUGAAAAAUUAAGUUUUUAUAUUCUGACAAUUCCCGCAAAAUUCUUUUAUUUUCAACCUGGAAAAUAAAAUUGUUAUCCUUAA